AUGCAAGUCGAGCGGAGAGAGGUAGCUUGCUACUGAUCUUAGCGGCGGACGGGUGAGUAAUGCUUAGGAAUCUGCCUAUUAGUGGGGGACAACAUUUCGAAAGGAAUGCUAAUACCGCAUACGUCCUACGGGAGAAAGCAGGGGAUCUUCGGACCUUGCGCUAAUAGAUGAGCCUAAGUCGGAUUAGCUAGUUGGUGGGGUAAAGGCCUACCAAGGCGACGAUCUGUAGCGGGUCUGAGAGGAUGAUCCGCCACACUGGGACUGAGACACGGCCCAGACUCCUACGGGAGGCAGCAGUGGGGAAUAUUGGACAAUGGGCGCAAGCCUGAUCCAGCCAUGCCGCGUGUGUGAAGAAGGCCUUAUGGUUGUAAAGCACUUUAAGCGAGGAGGAGGCUACUUUAGUUAAUACCUAGAGAUAGUGGACGUUACUCCGCAGAAUAAGCACCGGCUAACUUCUGGGCCAGCAGCCGCGGUAUACGAAGGGGGCAAGCGGUUAUCGAUUUACUGGGCGUAAGC
rnacentral:rRNA from 1 species